GAUCAGGUACAACAGAGGCAGCAGCAGUGCAAGCUUCCCCACACUGCUUUGUCUCUCUUAGGUC
ensembl:misc_RNA